rnacentral:rRNA from 1 species
AGAGUUUGAUCAUGGCUCAGGACGAACGCUGGCGGCGUGCUUAACACAUGCAAGUCGAACGGAAAGGCCCCUUCGGGGGUACUCGAGUGGCGAACGGGUGAGUAACACGUGGGUGAUCUGCCCUGCACUCUGGGAUAAGCCUGGGAAACUGGGUCUAAUACCGGAUACACCCUUCUGGUUGCAUGGCUGGGAGGGGAAAGCUUUUGCGGUGUGGGAUGGGCCCGCGGCCUAUCAGCUUGUUGGUGGGGUGAUGGCCUACCAAGGCGACGACGGGUAGCCGGCCUGAGAGGGUGUCCGGCCACACUGGGACUGAGAUACGGCCCAGACUCCUACGGGAGGCAGCAGUGGGGAAUAUUGCACAAUGGGCGCAAGCCUGAUGCAGCGACGCCGCGUGGGGGAUGACGGCCUUCGGGUUGUAAACCCCUUUCAGUAGGGACGAAGCGUGAGUGACGGUACCUACAGAAGAAGCACCGGCCAACUACGUGCCAGCAGCCGCGGUAAUACGUAGGGUGCGAGCGUUGUCCGGAAUUACUGGGCGUAAAGAGCUCGUAGGUGGUUUGUCGCGUUGUUCGUGAAAACUCACAGCUUAACUGUGGGCGUGCGGGCGAUACGGGCAGACUAGAGUACUGCAGGGGAGACUGGAAUUCCUGGUGUAGCGGUGGAAUGCGCAGAUAUCAGGAGGAACACCGGUGGCGAAGGCGGGUCUCUGGGCAGUAACUGACGCUGAGGAGCGAAAGCGUGGGGAGCGAACAGGAUUAGAUACCCUGGUAGUCCACGCCGU